CCUUUUUUCUUUUCUUUAAACCUAGAUCCAUGAUGCAUACAUUGAGUUAGCUGAACUUUUCAUCAAGACGGAGCCCCUCCAAGCCGUGGAUGUGUACGCCCGCUAUCCCUUCUCAGACGAAGAGUCUUAUGAUGAUGCUUUUCUCCAUGGGGAGAUCCUCCGUCUCUUGAUGAAACAUGAAAAGUUUGAUGACACCAGACUGGAGAAGCACAUGAUUGCAUACGGCAGAAUACUUGGCAAAGGAUGCAUUGAGAAGUAUGUGCAGAUCUUGGAGGCUAAGUUCAAGAAUGAGCUGCUGAUGAACGUCUAUGCUGCCGUCAACCACAAAGCAGUGGAUGAUCCUGAUAUGCAGGCUUUCUUUAAAUUUAAGAUGUGGCUCUAAUGGAUUUAGAAUUUAGACUUUACAAUAAAAAAGAAUGAAAAGCUGUGAGCUUUCAAAUUCCCCCUUAAAUUUCAGCAACUACAGUGAUAUUUGAAACUUAUUGUGCCCCAUGUGAAGAUUCAAUAUUUGAAAGAAAUGUCUUGCAACUUCUUUUAAAGCAAGAUAACUACGGUACUGAAUAGAUUUUAACCAAACUUGGCUAAAAUGAAGAGCUCGGUUUCAGACGGUACGGAAUCCAUAAAUCCAAGUUUAAUUUGUUACUUUAGCUGAUUAAUAUAUUUUUUUUUUUGUGUGGAUGUAGUACCUUUUGGAACCAAAAUAUUGCAUAAUGUAUGCAAGUAUGACUUGAAUGGAUGUAGUACCGAACUGAUUUUUUAGUGCCAUUUAAAAAAUUCAAAAAUGGAUGAGGAUGAAGUGGUUAGAUUUUGAGUGUGAAAGAUUACAAACAUGUAAACAAACAAAAUAAAUCUAGUAAAUAAUAAUUUAUAAUAUAGGAUAUUUAUAUAGCGCACGUAUACACUAUGUGAGAUUAAUAAGUGGGAAGACUGCAUGAAGCUUGUUCAUUAUUUGAUGAUCCGUCCAUAGAAACUUUAAACUUUACGUGUAUAUUUUUGUGUGCCUUGCUGUGGGUUUUAUUAACAGAUGUCUACAGAGUUUUAUUUUGAAUAAAUUGAUGUUUUAAAGUUAA